ensembl:snoRNA
AGCACUAUAUUUAAACCUGGAUGGAAAUUUUCCCUAUCCUAGGUUAUGCUGUAGUGCAAAAGAAUUCCUGGCUUCUUUCUGUUGCACAGCUGACUUUGUGCCAUUCUGCUGUUGCUGUAUGGAGUUAAGGAACAUAG